CCGCUUUAAGUUGAUUUGUUUCCAGUCCUUUAAAUCCACGUGCGCUUUGGGAUUAUCUGCUGCUUCAAGUGGAGCUGUCAGAGAGAAUAUAAGGUAAAGAGAACAUUACAGUGAAGAUAGCUCUGACCGUAUCUGAGUGCUGUGCCCUUAAAUCUGUUAGCCCAUCAUAUAACUAGUGGUCCUACAGUUGGCGUCUAGCCCUCUGCCACUGUUGGCCACAUAGCCGCUUUAAUCAAGUACCAUUCCACUCG